rnacentral:lncRNA from 1 species
CUUGGACGUCAGCCAUCCUGAUUGGAUCACACAAUAGGAGGGGCGUGACCAAAAACACGGUUAUAAAAGCCGCCGUGACCGAAGACUCUUCGCUUGUUCUCUCCGACCUUGUCCCGUGUAGCAAUCCACGUCUGGACUGAGGUAACCUGACCCACAUGUGAACUUAACUCCCUCAUUGAAGAGCCUUUACAUCCUUUCCAGUCCCCAGAGAUUAGGGACCCUGUAUCUUUCUCCACAACAGGAGACUGGCUUCUAUCACCACAGGCACCAAUUGACGCCAACAUCUCAAAUGUCCAUAUCAAAGAACCAUGAGUCCACUUUGUUGAUCUACCUGUAAAUCCCUCAGGAUUCUACCUCUGCUUAUCAUGCCAAAAGGAGAGGCUGUCACAUUUAUCACCAAGAAGCUGUCUCUCCCAGAACUGGGACCACCAGCCAUAAAAUGUGGAAUGUGCUCAUCAAAGAGAACGAGAGACUUCAUUUGGACACAGGUUCUGGUUCAGAUGCACCAGAACUUUCAAUUUCCAUGAAACAGAUGCCAUUGUAUUCUGUGGACAAAAUGUUUUCAUUUGGUAUUAGAGGGACUUCAACUCAUCACCAUGCUUUCCUUUGUGUGUAGGCACAAAGUUGAAAUAGAGAGACUCACCUUCUUUACUUCUUUUAAUCUGUGCAACAUACACAUGGACUAUGUCCACCAGCUACAAUUCGGUAUGCUCAUUAUUGUAUCACAUUUUUAAGUGUUACAAUUGUUUAAUUAGUAAUGUCCAGAUUAGGUCAUUCAUAAUUUGAUUUUGCUUGCAUUUAUUAUUCGUGUAUGUUUUAGUGUUUACUGGGUGUUGCAUAAGACAAGACCAGGCAUCAUGAAUAACAUUUAAUUUGUUACAGCAUUGUAAGGGACUACAUAUCAGACCUUAAGAUUCUAUGCAUUUAAUGUUGCUGGUUAACCAUUCUGACUUCUCUGCUUAUUUGAGUGUCAAAGUGAUCAUUACAUGCUUAUUGUGUUAUGGUGUGAUGGAACUUUGAGCUUGAUGAAAAGAGAAGAGCUUAGUUAUCCCAGAUUUAGGAGCGAUCCAAAUCAAAUAGUUUGAUUCCUGAUCUGAAGAGGUGGAACUCUUCACCACUGGUUGAAGUCAUUUCUCCGCCCUGCAGUGACCACUGCCCCAGGGGUAUUUAAACCAGUGACACUCUAGGCAAAUUGGAUUUCCCUCUAUCUUCUCUCUAUCUCUCUUCUCUAUCUAUCAAACUUCUUUCACUUUUUCCUUUUUGCGUCGCAUUACUUUUUUUUAAUUUUCCUUUGUUCUUAAAUUUUGUAAACCUAAGUUAAACUUAGAAACACGAACGAACAACGAUUUUUGUAACGUUAGAAAGUCAUCAAGAAACUCCGCGAAACUGAAACUAUUACAACCAGUCCUUAAUUGACUCGCUAUUUUUGAUCGAACCAAUAAAUUAGAUUCCAGCCCGUUUCCUUUUUGGGCU